rnacentral:rRNA from 1 species
GACGAACGCUGGCGGCGUGCUUAACACAUGCAAGUCGAACGGAAAGGCCCUGCUUUUGUGGGGUGCUCGAGUGGCAAACGGGUGAGUAACACGUGAGUAACCUGCCCUUGACUUUGGGAUAACUUCAGGAAACUGGGGCUAAUACCGGAUAGGAGCUCCUGCUGCAUGGUGGGGGUUGGAAAGUUUCGGCGGUUGGGGAUGGAUUCGCGGCUUAUCAGCUUGUUGGUGGGGUAGUGGCUUACCAAGGCUUUGACGGGUAGCCGGCCUGAGAGGGUGACCGGCCACAUUGGGACUGAGAUACGGCCCAGACUCCUACGGGAGGCAGCAGUGGGGAAUAUUGCACAAUGGGCGGAAGCCUGAUGCAGCAACGCCGCGUGCGGGAUGACGGCCUUCGGGUUGUAAACCGCUUUCGCCUGUGACGAAGCGUGAGUGACGGUAAUGGGUAAAGAAGCACCGGCUAACUACGUG